GGAAGAUGGACAGGGACUCUGUUGUCAUAGCUUCAGGGGGAAGAUGGACAGGGACUCUGUUGUCAUAGCUUCAGGGGGAGAUGGACAGGGACUCUGUUGUCAUAGCAUCAGGGGGAGAUGGACAGGGACUCUGUUGUCAUAGCUUCAGGGGGAGAUGGACAGGGACUCUGUUGUCAUAGCUUCAGGGGGAAGAUGGACAGGGACUCUGUUGUCAUAGCUUCAGGGGGGGGAGAUGAACAGGGACUCUGUUGUCAUAGCUUCAGGGGAAGCUCAUUCCACCAUCGGAGGGCAUAGCUUCAG
ensembl:lncRNA